AAGAAAAAUAUAAUUUUCUUUAACUAUUUCAAGUUUCUUGCGGGCAAACAUCUUUAAGCCAGACCGUGACAUUUAAAAAAUGAAUUUGUAAUCUAUGGUAGGAAAAGUCUAUGGCCAUAACCUAAAAGCGUCUCGUACCUCUGAAAAAACAAUAUUUAAUUUUAUAGAAUUGAAAUACCAAUUACCAUUGGAUAUUCUAAUUGUGGUUUUGGAACCGACAUUGUAAUUGAUAACAUUAAAUGUAGUUUCUUUCUUACAGAGAAACUCAAUUGUGUUAUUUUGACUGUGUCGUCCAAAUCACAAAGUAUAUUGGAAAUCAUCUUAUAAAACGACAUUUAUUGUCAAAAAUAUGGAAAAGUUGAAAUUUACAUUCGAAGUGAAACCAUCAACAGACGGAAAAUCCAACUAUAUUGCUGUAACCUCAAUUACGACACAAGAUGACAAAGUCUUCCUUAUUCCUGAAGAGUAUCAAACAGUAUCACUACACAAACACAUCCAAACUUCGAAAACCUUCACUACAGUGAAAAAUACGUUGAAAAAAAGAUAUCAAUCCAGAGGUGUUUGGAUAAAAAUGACAGAGGGUAUAUUACAAACCUACAUGGAUGAGGAUGAUAACAUGAUUUUUCAAGACCAGCUUCUAGAGGAAACUACCCAAGAACAAUUGGCUAUUGCUAGUAAAAAGUGUUCAGAAGAUCCUAUUGUGAAAAUUCUGGAAAAAUUAGUGGAAGGUCAACAAAACAGAGAAAAGCAAAGUAUAAAAAAGUUAGCAGACAGGUUUGUAAUAGAAAAGUUUGACGGGAAAAACUCAAGUGCAUAUCAGUGGAUGUCCGUAUUUGAAAAAGAAUGUGAAAGAUUCAAUAUUACACAAGAUGAAGAAAAAAUUGAAAUCUUCAGAUUAUUUCUAGAGAAAUCAUGCAAUGAUUGGUAUUCUUCUAUGAUGAUCAAGCUUGGUUUACAGUCCGAAUGGUCAGAAUGGAAAUCGAGUUUUUUGCAAACCUACGCCAUUAAAGGUUGGACUACUAGCAAGUAUGCUUUAUCUUUCAAGUAUCAAUCAGGAUCUUUAUUAGAAUAUGCAGUAAAAAAAGAGAAACUUUUACUAGAGGUAAGAAAGACAAUAGAUGAAGGGACCCUUAUCGAUAUAAUUGCUGCCGGCUUACCAGAUUUUAUCACAGAUAGAAUUAACAAAGAAGAAAUUGAACACACAAAACACUUGUUUAAUGCACUGGGCAGAUUGGAACAUUUGGUUACAAGGAAAAAAAUUAUUAAAAAAAGAGAAGAUACGAAACCGAUUAAAGAAAAAUGUGGUAUUUGUGAAAAAUUAAAGAAAGGCAUACGCUAUCUUUCAGAAGAUUCCUGCUGGUUUAAAACCAAAAUGAAUACUGAAAAGGAUAAAAAGCAAAUAAAGCUCAUUAUUCCCGAAGAAAUUUUCUAUAGGGUCUUGGUUAAAGUGCCGCGUCAACAUACAGUCAAAACUAUAUUUUUUUAAUAAAAUAUUCCAUACGACUCCAAAGCCCUCAAUAGUUUUGACAAAGUUAUUGGUACUUGGUACUGUGGUUUCUACUAAUCGAACUUUAUCACCAGUUUUUUUCUUUGCUAUGAAUUUAACUGAUUUAAGAAGCUGUUUAGCUUUAAUCCAGAGCCGAUGAUGGGGUGAUGAUUUUCUUACGCAUCCUUUAUACAUUUUACCAUUGGGUAUAUGAAAUGUGUUACUAUUUAAUGAAUCAAAUAGUUUAUCUAUUGUUAAAACAAAAUUAAUCAAAUUGCGACACUCUUCGUUUAUUAUACCUCUAGCUGUCAAAUGUUCCGCCACAACCGCAACACUAUGGCUGAAUAUUUGAGCUGCUGUCUUAACACGCAUUUUUUUAAUUUUGUCAAUAUUUAUAUGUUCCUCGGUUAUUUUAUUCAAUAAACGAAGUUCCCCAAAUGUU